UAGGAAUACCCGCUGAACUUAAGCAUAUCAUAGGGGGGAAGGAA
rnacentral:rRNA from 1 species